rnacentral:rRNA from 1 species
GAUGAACGCUGGCGGCGUGCCUAAUACAUGCAAGUCGAGCGAAUGGAUUAAGAGCUUGCUCUUAUGAAGUUAGCGGCGGACGGGUGAGUAACACGUGGGUAACCUGCCCAUAGGACUGGGAUAACUCCGGGAAACCGGGGCUAAUACCGGAUAACAUUUUGAACCGCAUGGUUCGAAAUUGAAAGGCGGCUUCGGCUGUCACUUAUGGAUGGACCCGCGUCGCAUUAGCUAGUUGGUGAGGUAACGGCUCACCAAGGCAACGAUGCGUAGCCGACCUGAGAGGGUGAUCGGCGACCCUGGGACAGAGACACGGCCCAGACUCCUCCGGGAGGCAGCAGUAGGGAAUCUUCCGCAAUGGACGAAAGUCUGACGGAGCAACGCCGCGUGAGUGAUGAAGGCUUUCGGGUCGUAAAACUCUGUUGUUAGGGAAGAACAAGUGCUAGUUGAAUAAGCUGACACCUUGACGGUACCUAACCAGAAAGCCACGGCUAACUACGUGCCAGCCGCCGCAGUAA